CACUGAGCUAAACGAAGAUUUUGUUUGUGGGUUGAUGUAAUCAGCCCUGUAGGAAUUUCCCUGGAAAACACACCUAAGUAUUAUGCUUGAAUAGUCAUUUGGCCAGACAUUCAUGGUAGGAGACGGGGUGUUGAUAAUUACUUUUCCUGAUCUCCGUCCAACUCUGACAUGCGCAUGGCUUCAGGAAAACUGCUGAAACAUUAUCAGAAACUCAGAUGACUCAACUGAGGAUUUUUUAGGGAAAACAGAGAGCUGACAUGAAAUCACCAGGCUCAGGACAUUAAAUUCUCCUUGGAAACACUUUAACUCACAACUGUGAUGAUCUGCACAAGACAUGCCCAGGAUUAGUUCCACCAUUGUCAUUGUGGAAGUCAAAGAAACUCACAAGACCUCAUCCCACUCUGAGUUUUUAUAUGAAGAUAAUAACUGCCAGGUGGGGAAGAGAUGCUUUUCAGUGGUGUAGCUACAGGUGUAAUGGGAGUUAUGGGAAUAUUUCCUGCUGUACGCUGUGUUGUCUUGUGCCUCCUUCAGAUG